rnacentral:lncRNA from 1 species
GAAGAUAGAAAAAGGAAAAAAAACAGAAAAUAAAUUAUUAAAUAAAAAAUUAUGUAAAAGAGAAAAACAGUCUAAAAUCGUGGUCGGAAACUUUGAACGUAGAGGAUCAGUUUUGUUCAAAGAAAUAUUAGGAUAUAACUGCUAGGAAUUAUGGAUCAAAUAUAAAAAUUUUCAAUCAAUUAUUUCUAAAAAAAAAUAUUUUCCACUUGUCAAAAUUUGAUUCACCAAGUGACUUGUGCUUUAGUAUAUAAGGGAUUAGGAUCGAGACACGUAGUCUAGUCGCAGCGGAGAAAGUUUCAGAAGAAAAAAAUGGACCCCUGUAUUUUUCAUAUUUUUGAAAAGGAUCCUAAUGUUUCUAAUUUUAUCAAAAUAAUCCAAAUUUUUCAGUUAGAUAAUAAAGAGACCGUCUUGUUUUGGAAGGAAACAGAUUUCGUGGGUGUGCAAUGUAAUUUGUUUUCAAGUCUUGUUUUGGUUAGUUUGUUUCGCGUUACUGUGUCAGUGUGAAGGGUAUGCUAGUCUGUAAUAGGUGUAUAGUAUCCGUAAAGCGGACUCAAGAUCUGAGUCGUUGAAAACUGAAUGCUUGUAACACGUGGAGAAAUCUCUGGGAUUGUUUUGGUAUUGGUGGUGAUAGCGAAAGGCAUAAUAGCAUGACUCCGUUUGUUGGAGUCAAUGCUUAUCUCUAUCAUUUUUUGUGUCUGCGACAAUUAUUUUGUAUUUUUGAUUGGGUUUGACUGUUAGGCCACCUCCAACACCAGUCUCUUAGUAAGUAUAUUAAGACUAAAAAAUAGAAAAUAUAUUGAAAAAGGUGAAAAAAAGAGAAACAGUAUAUGUGCAGA